rnacentral:sRNA from 1 species
AGAAGAUGGGUGAAAAAAGACAGCCCCUGGGGAAGUGAUGGUUACAUUAAACUUUUUAAAAUUUUGGUAAAAUAUGCAUAACAUAAAAGUUUCCCUGUUACUUUUGUGUGUGUGUGUGUGUGUGUGUGUGUGUGUGUGUUGCUAGCAAUGGAACCCUGGUCCCUGCGAGGCAAGCUUUCUA